GGCUACAUAGCUCAGUUGGUAGAGAAUGAGACUCUUAAUCUCUUGGUUAUGGGUUCAAGCCAAAGAUUCCUGCGUUGCAGACU